GCCGCGGUAGCCCAGUUGGUAGAGGCGUCAGCAGUACAGAUACCGAAAGUCGCAGGGUCAAAUCCUGCCUGCGGCA